rnacentral:rRNA from 1 species
CCUACGGGGGGCUGCAGUGGGGAAUCUUGCACAAUGGGCGAAAGCCUGAUGCAGCGACGCCGCGUGAGGGAUGACGGCCUUCGGGUUGUAAACCUCUUUCAGCUCCGACGAAGCGCAAGUGACGGUAGGAGCAGAAGAAGCACCGGCCAACUACGUGCCAGCAGCCGCGGUAAUACGUAGGGUGCAAGCGUUGUCCGGAAUUAUUGGGCGUAAAGAGCUCGUAGGCGGUCUGUCACGUCGGCUGUGAAAACCUGGGGCUCAACCCCGGGCCUGCAUCCGAUACGGGCAGACUAGAAUUCGGUAGGGGAGACUGGAAUUCCUGGUGUAGCGGUGGAAUGCGCAGAUAUCAGGAGGAACACCGGUGGCGAAGGCGGGUCUCUGGGCCGACAUUGACGCUGAGGAGCGAAAGCGUGGGGAGCGAACAGGAUUAGAUACCCUAG